GGGUUGUGAGGUUAAGCGACUAAGCGUACACGGUGGAUGCCCUGGCAGUCAGAGGCGAUGAAGGACGUGCUAAUCUGCGAAAAGCGCCGGCGAGGUGAUAUGAACCUUUGACCCGGCGAUGUCCGAAUGGGGAAACCCAGUGCAAUUCGUCACACUAUCGUUAACUGAAUACAUAGGUUAACGAGGCGAACCGGGGGAACUGAAACAUCUAAGUACCCCGAGGAAAAGAAAUCAACCGAGAUUCCCCCAGUAGCGGCGAGCGAACGGGGAGCAGCCCAGAGUCUGAAUCAGCUUGUGUGUUAGUGGAACGGUCUGGAAAGUCCGACGGUACAGGGUGAUAGUCCCGUACACGAAAAUGCACAGGCUGUGAACUCGAAGAGUAGGGCGGGACACGUGGUAUCCUGUCUGAAUAUGGGGGGACCAUCCUCCAAGGCUAAAUACUCCUGACUGACCGAUAGUGAACCAGUACCGUGAGGGAAAGGCGAAAAGAACCCCGGCGAGGGGAGUGAAAAAGAACCUGAAACCGUGUACGUACAAGCAGUGGGAGCACCUUCGUGGUGUGACUGCGUACCUUUUGUAUAAUGGGUCAGCGACUUAUAUUCUGUAGCAAGGUUAACCGUAUAGGGGAGCCGAAGGGAAACCGAGUCUUAACUGGGCGUUAAGUUGCAGGGUAUAGACCCGAAACCCGGUGAUCUAGCCAUGGGCAGGUUGAAGGUUGGGUAACACUAACUGGAGGACCGAACCGACUAAUGUUGAAAAAUUAGCGGAUGACUUGUGGCUGGGGGUGAAAGGCCAAUCAAACCGGGAGAUAGCUGGUUCUCCCCGAAAGCUAUUUAGGUAGCGCCUCGUGAACUCAUCUUCGGGGGUAGAGCACUGUUUCGGCUAGGGGGCCAUCCCGGCUUACCAACCCGAUGCAAACUACGAAUACCGAAGAAUGUUAUCACGGGAGACACACGGCGGGUGCUAACGUCCGUCGUGAAGAGGGAAACAACCCAGACCGCCAGCUAAGGUCCCAAAGUCAUGGUUAAGUGGGAAACGAUGUGGGAAGGCACAGACAGCCAGGAUGUUGGCUUAGAAGCAGCCAUCAUUUAAAGAAAGCGUAAUAGCUCACUGGUCGAGUCGGCCUGCGCGGAAGAUGUAACGGGGCUAAACCAUGCACCGAAGCUGCGGCAGCGACACUUAUGCGUUGUUGGGUAGGGGAGCGUUCUGUAAGCCGUUGAAGGUGUCCUGUGAGGGAUGCUGGAGGUAUCAGAAGUGCGAAUGCUGACAUAAGUAACGAUAAUGCGGGUGAAAAGCCCGCACGCCGGAAGACCAAGGGUUCCUGUCCAACGUUAAUCGGGGCAGGGUGAGUCGACCCCUAAGGCGAGGCCGAAAGGCGUAGUCGAUGGGAAACAGGUUAAUAUUCCUGUACUUGGUGUUACUGCGAAGGGGGGACGGAGAAGGCUAU
rnacentral:rRNA from 1 species